rnacentral:rRNA from 1 species
AGUUAGUGGCGGACGGGUGAGUAACGCGUGGAAAACCUGCCGUAUACUGGGGGAUAACACUUAGAAAUAGGUGCUAAUACCGCAUAAGCGCACGGGGCUGCAUGGCCCAGUGUGAAAAACUCCGGUGGUAUAAGAUGGACCCGCGUCUGAUUAGCUUGUUGGCGGGGUAACGGCCCACCAAGGCGACGAUCAGUAGCCGGCCUGAGAGGGUGGACGGCCACAUUGGGACUGAGACACGGCCCAAACUCCUACGGAAGGCAGCAG